CGGUGUGUGCUGGGCGCAGGGAAGACACAGCGCCGCGGGCCGUGGGGAACGGACGCACUGAUUUGCUCCCUUACCCUCAGCAACCCCCCCACCCAGCACCAGGUGGGUGUGAGCUGGGGUCCCGGCCGCACUGGAGGGAACCAUGCUAACGGGGUAAUAGGGGAAAGUAGGGUCCUGGUGGCCACACCCUGCCCUUCCGGGGGAGGGGUGAGGGGGCGGCGGGGGCAGGGAAGCUCUGGGGGUGAGGGGUCCUGGACUGGCUGGAGUGGUUUGGCAGGAGGCUUAAAGAAAGAGUCCGGGACGACAGUCGUGGCGGAGGGUUUUGCAGAGUGGCUAGAAAGAAGACGAGGGGCUAGGGGGCUGGGGGCAGCUAACCUCGGCGCCCCCUAGUCAGAGGAUAUGAGAACUGGCCUCCCAGCUUGGGGAGGGUUUGGACCUGGCGGGUAGCGGAGAGGUAGUUUUCCUCUGCAGGCAGUCAGUUGGUCAGGGCCAUUUGAGCGCCCUGGCAGGGAAGGGGUCUCUGGGCGGGCCGGCCCCUCCUCUCGUUCCUCCAGGGGAUGUUAUGUAAGGGGGGAGGGGAGAGGAGUAGGGGGCGGCGGUGCGGGGGCCUUAUGCAACCCAAAGGUUAGGGUUUCACCGCGGUUGGUGGGGAAAGCGGGCUGGAGGAGGACCUGGAAACUCUAACCACCCCCCGUCCCCAGCCUAACUGGCCGUCUUGGGCCCAGAGAAGGUCACCUCUGCACCUCCCCCCAGCAUGUCCGGUUGUGGGGCCCCUAGCCCAGGCCUGGCCCUGACCGCCUGGGAAGCCGGCUGGCUGGGUGGGGCGCCUGGGUUAGUCAUCACUGGGCUCCCUCUCUCCCCACCUCUCGGCCAACUCUUGGCCCCUCCCUAUGGCCUCUCGCUGGGCUAUCGCCCCCACCUCCCUCCGGCCCUAGUUCUCCAACUCCUUUGGCCUGUCAUCUUGGCUGUCAGACUGGGCUAGGGAUUGUCAGGGUGCCAAAGGGUUGAUGGAGCAGCUGGUCAGAGGGUCAGUGACCUGGGCCCACCCCACCCUGCAGCCAAGGGCACCUGCUUGGCACAGACUCUAAGCAGCCCUUGAGUCCUAUGGGCUGAACAGAGCUGGCUCAGACAGAGGAGAGUGGGAAGGAGUUGGACUGGUCACCUGGGGGAAGGAAGAUACCACAAAGUUCAUGCCUCCCCAAGAGGGUUUUUGUAAUUUGAAAACCUCCCACCCCCCCACUCUAAUCUUUCUUACCCUCUGAGUAUAGAAGUCUCAAGGCAAGACUGCCUUGGCUCCUGACACUGGCAUGGGCCAUGCCCUUGGACUGAGUGUCAGCACAGACACCGCCUCCCCAGCUCUAGGCCCUCAAGCCUGCCACGCCCCCAGCCCCCUCCCUGGGCCAUGCUGCAGGGCCCGGCUUUUCCUGCUGAUUCAUGCGUUGGAACUGUGGGGGCGGGGCUUGGAACUUGGAACAAAGUUCAGACAUGGAGGGGCCGGCAGACAGCCUGGAAUUCAUACCAGAUGUACCCGGAAUGCGCAAGCGGAAUGCCUGGCAUUUAAGAGUCUUGGGGAAGCUGCCCAUCCACCCUACCCAUACCUCCCUCCCCUCCAGCCUUUGGUCCCCUGUCCUCUCCUCGCAGUCCCUGGAGCCUCUGCUGACCUUCCAAACUCUGGACCUCCCUUCCUCACUCUUCCCCAGAUGUGGGCCCCCAGAACUCUUCCAGCUGAACUCCCUGGGAACAAGUCAGUUGGGCUGAUCACUGAACUGACAUUUCUGGACCUAAGGUCCAACUUCUCACCUAGUACCUGGGCAACUGGUGCAAUGUGUCCCGGGUUCUAAGUCCAGCCCUCUCUGAAUGCUGAAGAGGCUGGGCCCUCCAUGAAUAGAUGGGGCAAGGAGGGGUGAGAGCAGACCUGGGUCUCUACAGCCUUUGGUUCUGGAAAGAGGCACAAGGAAGUAUGUUUAGAACUGCCUCUUGCUUCUUACUGAAGUUAACUGCUCCUGCAGGCCCAGGUCAGAGCCAAGAACACUUUGUUACAAGGUUGAGCAUCUGUUGGAGCUGGACUUUUGUUGGACAGUGGGACAGUGUCCCUGUGACAUGGCCCUGUUCAGAUCCUUCCCAUUUUGUCUUCCUUUUCCUUUUAGGAGCCUGUCCCUCCCACAUCCUCACCUGGCUGAGCCGCAGUAGUUCUUCAGUGGCAAGCUUUAUGUCCUGACCCAGCUAAAGCUGCCAGUUGAAGAACUGUUGCCCUCUGCCACUGGCUUCAAGGAGGAGGAGGAAGAGGAGAAGGAGCUGCUUUCCCCUUCAUCUGGAAGGUUGUCGCUGUACCCUCAGAUGGCUGCUGACCCCAUUAACGGCCACCCAUCCUGGGCCCUGGUGCUGGUGGCUGUGUCCGUGGGUUGUGAGCUGCCUCAGCACUGCCAUUCUGUCCAACCAGUACAUGGGCCUCUGUGUGGUGUCUCUGCUCCUGGAGCUGAACUCUGUCUGCCUGCACCUACGGAAACUGCUGCUGCUUUCUCACCAGGCCCCAUCCCUGGCCUUCAGCAUGGCCAGCUGGGCCACCCUGGCCCUCUUCCGCCUAGUGCCUCUGGGCUGGAUGAGUCUGUGGCUAAUCCGGCAGCAACACCAGGUUCUUCCCCCUCUGGUCAUCCUUAGUGGAACUGGGCUGGUCACUGUGGGUGCCAUAAGCAUCACACUGGGCGUACGUAUUUUGGUCAAUGAUGUCCUGCAGGUUCGGCCCCGCCCACCCAUCCUGGGGCACAAGGAAACUAGGGGCACAAGGAGGUGUCGUGAUGGUGAGCUUGUCGCCAGGGACAAUGCCACUCUCCUCCUGAAAGACUAGAGAGAGGCCUCAGGCUCCUCUUCUGCCAGGCCUGGGGCAGGUAGGGCCAGGACGGGGAGAUUGUGGUCUACAGUGUCCAGUCCAUUGUGGGGUAAAGACUGGGCUGAAUUUUCAGUAUCUCAGUCCCUCUUCCAAGUAACUCACACCCCUCCCCCAUUCCUAGGAUCUGAGAAGAAAUGCUGAUGUUCUUGGAUGGGUGGGAAACUGGGCUAUUGUUCAGUAAAUUCCAUCAUCAGAUGACUGCUUCUUCCAGCAAACUUCUGGAGGUACAGCCAGUGCUGCCAAUAAGGGGAAGAAGGAGGCAUGAAGCUAGGUGAAACUGCCAAUGGCAUCCUCCACUUUUAGCACAGGAACAGGUGAAGGAAGGCGAGGUCUUUUUUUUUUUUUUUUUAAGAUUUGUAUUUAUUUACUUGGCACAGAGAGAGAGAGCACAAGCAAGGGGAGUGGUAGGCAGAGGGAGAGCAGCCCAACAGGGGGCCCAAUCCCGGGAUCACAACCCCAGCUGAAGGCAGAUGCUGAACCAACUGAGCCACCCAGGCACCCCCAAAGGUGAGGUCUUAUUAGGACCAGAGAGAUCUGAUGUGGAGGGGGUGGGUUCAGAGGGAAGAGAGACCUCACCUGUGACCAAAUUCCAGGCGGCGGAGGAGGCCACAACAGGUGCUAUCUGUAGCCAGUAGGGAUGGACAUACUAGUGGCCAAGAAACAGAAGAACUGGUCCACUACAGUCGCUGCUGAUACUUCUGGUUCUUGAAGCCACACUACCAUGUUUGUACUUAGCGCGAGUCCUACUGCCUUUUAAAUUUUUAAAAAGCCCAGCAUCUGCCUUUUAAAUUUUCUUACUAUCUUCUGACCUCUUCAAAGAAAAUGCAGCUUCUUAAAGGAAUGAGCAUGGGACUAGGUCUGUCUUCUUAGGAAACUACUGAAGUCCAGAGACAUUGCAGGGACUCAAACACCCAUUCUGGGUGCCAAGUGUAGCGUUUUCCAAGGCCCAGGUCUUCAUGGAAGAAUGAAGACAGGGAGAAGUGGACGAAGGGAGGCUUUCACUUGGCUGCAGAGGGAUUAAGAAAUAUCUAACUCUCUUCUAGGAUUCAUUUGCAAGCUCUCCCUCUCUUUUCUCCCCUGCCAUUUGUUUUUUUAUUUUUUUUUUUAAGAGGGGGAUGAGAGAAUCUUAAGCAGGCUCCAUUUCACAAACCUAUGAGUCGGCUUCUUAACUGACUGAGCCACCCUGAUGCCCCUAGGGUAAUUUAUUACCACCCAUUUCUCAUUCUCUUAUCUCACUUAAGAGACAGGGAAAAAAAUUUUUUUUAAUUAAAUUUAAUUUUUUUAAAGAUGUUAUUUUUAUUUAUUUGACAGAGACAUAGUGAGAGAGGGAGCACAAGCUGGGGGAG